UGCAGAUUGUAUUACAGUAUUUUUUUUCCUAAUACUACAAAAUCUAAUUUCUCAUAAUAAACUUCUUUGGGAUGUAAUGGCAAAAAAGCUCUUUCAAACUUGCCUGCAGGGAUUUCUGAUGCAGAUAAUCUGUGAGAAUUAUGCACAUAUCAUUGCCUGGAUUCUUCCUAGGCAGGCAUUGAAUUCUCACUGAAAACAUUUUUAGGUGUGAGGAUAUUGACAACUGAACACACAUGUAGGACCAGAACUAGAAGUCACAUACCACUCUGACAUAAUUCUUUUGACUAAAAGGAAAUACCUCCAUUUUGUCUCAGCUGAGACCCCGCGUCGUGUUUUUCUAAAUGAUAGCUGAUCAGUUUUCUGUGUAAUCCAAUGCAUAUUUAAUAAUUUUUCUUUCCUGCCUUG